rnacentral:ncRNA from 1 species
AGAUUAUUGACAAAGUGUUAGUGGCGGAGAGAACAGGUGGAUCGUAAAGGCGCCGUCAAUCCGUCCCUGGUGGCUCGAGCUACGCCAUCCCUAGCGCGGACGCUUU